GUAGGUGAACCUGCGGAAGGAUCAUUACUGAUUUGCUUAAUUGCACCACAUGUGUUUUUUAUUGAACAAAUUUCUUUGGUGGCGGGAGCAAUCCUACCGCCAGAGGUUAUAACUAAACCAAACUUUUUAUUUACAGUCAAACUUGAUUUAUUAUUACAAUAGUCAAAACUUUCAACAACGGAUCUCUUGGUUCUC
rnacentral:misc_RNA from 1 species